UUCUCUUGGUGAAGAGAGGCAUUUCGACAAAUUAGUGAACAAUAAAAAAUAGGAUUAUAAGAAACUAAAACUGCCUACGAGUAUAGAUUAGGAGAAGUUGAAGACUAGAUUUUCCUCUUUUAAGGUGAGACGAAUGAUUCAAUUUUUUUUUUCUUUUCUGCUCCUAAUUCCUCGCUCACAUCUUCUAAGUGACUCAGGAAGAGGAUUUCGAUUAAAACAUGAAUAUGCCUCCUCUUAGUGUCGAUGUCUUUAGUUGCAUCCAUCUGAAUAUCGCCUCGCUUGACUAUGAUGAUGCCUAUAGAUUCACCAGUAUUUUGCCGAAUCUUUCUUUAGGUGUAGGAAUUCGUUUUAGUAAAUAUUUUUCGCAUUUAGGAUUUAUUAUUUUUUGUACGUGUUACGACUAUGCUUUCUUGCAUAUUUGAAACAACGCCCAUGUUUAUUUUGACACCACACUCUCUCUGUACUGUGAUAACUACUGCGCGUUCGAAUACUAUGGGCAUUAUUAAGGAUUUGACCGAGCUAUCUAAAAGAGAAGUUGUCAGAUUAUACAAAAGACCAUAUAUGUGAGAGUGCUAAUUCUGGAAAACUAAAGCUUGUGUUGAAAAAUAAUCUAUAUUAUGCUGAGUCAGAAUCUCCAAAGUUAUUGAAGACAUUGCUUGGGGAAUAAGUUAUAUCCAAGGCUCAGAUUAAAUUAAAGGUGGAAAAUGGGAAACAAUGUUUGCUAAAUAAACUGAACUAUCCUAUGCUCGAGAAAUACGACUUUUCAAUGAAUUUUG